UACGAAGGACCCAAGCGUCAUCCGGAUUUAUUGGGUUUAAAGGGUGCGUAGGCGGGUUAUUAAGUCAGUGGUGAAAGCCUACAGCUUAACUGUAGAAUUGCCAUUGAUACUGAUGAUCUUGAGUAUGAUUGAGGUGGGCGGAAUGUGUCAUGUAGCGGUGAAAUGCUUAGAUAUGACACAGAACACCGAUUGCGAAGGCAGCUCACUAAGCCAUAACUGACGCUGAUGCACGAAAGCGUGGGGAGCAAACAGG
rnacentral:rRNA from 1 species